rnacentral:rRNA from 1 species
CUGACGGUGCCGGACGGGUGAUUAAUGCAUAGGAAUCUGCCCGAUAGUGGGGGAUAACCUGGGGAAACCCAGGCUAAUACCGCAUACGUCCUACGGGAGAAAGGGGGCUUCGGCUCCCGCUAUCGGAUGAGCCUAUGUCGGAUUAGCUAGUUGGUGAGGUAAAGGCUCACCAAGGCAACGAUCCGUAGCUGGUCUGAGAGGAUGAUCAGCCACAUCGGGACUGAGACACGGCCCGAACUCCUACGGGAGGCAGCAGUGGGGAAUAUUGGACAAUGGGGGCAACCCUGAUCCAGCCAUGCCGCGUGUGUGAAGAAGGCCCUCGGGUUGUAAAGCACUUUCAGCGAGGAAGAACGCCUAGCGGUUAAUACCCGCUAGGAAAGACAUCACUCGCAGAAAAAGCACCGGCUAACUCCGUGCCAGCAGCCGCGGUAAUACGGAGGGUGCAAGCGUUAAUCGGAAUUACUGGGCGUAAAGCGCGCGUAGGUGGCUUGAUAAGCCGGUUGUGAAAGCCCCGGGCUCAACCUGGGAACGGCAUCCGGAACUGUCAAGCUAGAGUGCAGGAGAGGAAGGUAGAAUUCCCGGUGUAGCGGUGAAAUGCGUAGAGAUCGGGAGGAAUACCAGUGGCGAAGGCGGCCUUCUGGACUGACACUGACACUGAGGUGCGAAAGCGUGGGUAGCAAACAGGAUUAGAUACCCUGGUAGUCCACGCCGUAAACGAUGUCGACCAGCCGUUGGGUGCCUAGCGCACUUUGUGGCGAAGUUAACGCGAUAAGUCGACCGCCUGGGGGAGUACGGCCGCAAGGUUAAAACUCAAAUGAAUUGACGGGGGCCCGCACAAGCGGUGGAGCAUGUGGUUUAAUUCGAUGCAACGCGAAGAACCUUACCUACUCUUGACAUCCUGCGAAUUCGGUAGAGAUACCUUAGUGCCUUCGGGAACGCAGAGACAGUGCUGCAUGGCUGUCGUCAGCUCGUGUUGUGAAAUUGUUUGGGUUAAGUCCC